GCGCCUAUAGCUCAGUUGGUAGAGCAGCUGACUCUUAAUCAGCGGGUCCGGGGUUCGAGUCCCUGUGGGCGCACCA
rnacentral:tRNA from 2 species